rnacentral:lncRNA from 1 species
UGUAAUCGACAAGGCUAAAGCUUUCGAACAGGUAAAGAAUGAAUAACGAGACCAAAAGAAAGCAAAAUUAAGAAAUAAUUACUACGAAGAUCAAGGACAUUAUCUUACUUGAGUAUCAAAGUCCUCAAAGAUUGUGGAUAACAGCGAGUAGCAUCAAAAGUGCUUUUUAGUUUUUGGUGCUGUACUUCAUCUUCUGAAUGAAGAAGCUAACAACAGCAUGUUAGAGCCGAAUAGGCUAACAAGUUGUAUGUAAACUAACAAUGUCUUUGUUCAAGGAUCAUCAAUGCUGAUUGCAACACUUCUCUAGCCUUUCUA